AUUUUUCGCAUGUAUUUUUUUCCUGCGCUUGCAUGCAGCAACCGCAGUUACAAAUCAGAGUGCGCAGCCGUAUCAGGAAGCUAUACAGUCCACCUCCAUGAUGCCGGAACUGUAACAGAUCUUUCUCAUUUGCCCAAUAUGGAAUACUAUCAAAGCACAGGUCUGAGAAUAGCGGUGUACGCACUAAUUGCUUUGGUCCUCUGCAACUACGUACAGUGCUCGGGAUGCGAUCAUGACGAAGUUUCAUCUGCGUGUCCCUGGUAUGGAAAGAAACCAGAGAAUACUUGCCCUCCACAAGGACGCGAACGGCAGGUGCAGCUAAGGCCGUGCGAACCUGGAACAGCCACCUGUCACUGUCCUGGUGGAACAUAUAGGCGAUACGACAGAUUCUGCGUCGAACUUCAGCGGUGCAUUAAGCCGGAGCCAAAACCUGAAAGGAAAGGCAGGAACUAGUUAAUCGUGUUAGUCUAUCUUUUUCUGCGAAAACUUUUGGGGCAAUAAUUAUAUCUUACCUAUCCGAGUGUAUGUCCUAGUACUAUAAGCGGAAAUUAAUGAGGACUACGUGCAAAUGAAACACACAUUAGAAAAUAAAGACUUUGGCGC